AACGAACGCUGGCGGCAUGCCUAACACAUGCAAGUCGAACGAAGCCUUCGGGCUUAGUGGCGCACGGGUGCGUAACGCGUGGGAAUCUGCCCUUUGGUUCGGAAUAACAGUUGGAAACGACUGCUAAUACCGGAUGAUGACGAAAGUCCAAAGAUUUAUCGCCAGAGGAUGAGCCCGCGUAGGAUUAGCUAGUUGGUGUGGUAAAGGCGCACCAAGGCGACGAUCCUUAGCUGGUCUGAGAGGAUGAUCAGCCACACUGGGACUGAGACACGGCCCAGACUCCUACGGGAGGCAGCAGUGGGGAAUAUUGGACAAUGGGCGAAAGCCUGAUCCAGCAAUGCCGCGUGAGUGAUGAAGGCCCUGGGGUUGUAAAGCUCUUUUACCCGGGACGAUAAUGACAGUACCGGGAGAAUAAGCCCCGGCUAACUCCGUGCCAGCCGCCGCAGUAA
rnacentral:rRNA from 1 species